UUGCCGCGUGCCACUUAGGCCGCCGGUUGUGACUCGCUUGUGCCAGCAUGUUCGAUUGUGCGUCAAGAAUUCCGCAUAGCAAGUUUGUAUGAAGGUCUGGUUAUUAAAUGGGUAAAUAGUUCAAUAGUAAUAUGCUCUAAAACGCUCUGGUGACAAACAAACUUUGCUGCCCUGUUUCCAAUUGUCCAUAUGGCUGGGAGAACCUAUUCAAGUAAGUAAAUACAUUAUUAUUAUUAUUUUUUUUUUUUAAAUGUAUUAUUAGCUAACUAGCUACAGUGCAGGCUAACUCAAAUGAGCAGCUAAAUGAACUAGCUAGUCAACUUUACAUACUGUAUAGCUAGCUAAGGGAAUUAAAUAGCACCAGCAACCUAACUUCAUUUCAGCUAACUAUCUUGAUGUGUUUAUAGGUAGCUAGCUAACAGCCAUGGAGGAACGUGAAAGGAUAAUGUUAGCAGCUCCAACUUUCAAAGUGAGAGAGUAGGCUAUUCUAAAUAGGGCAGGUACUUUUGUGUAGUUCCAGUCCCUAGAAGUGAGGAAGAUAAUAGUAGCAUAAUAUUCAGUGCAGUGUAAUUUGAGUAUAAUGAAGUCUGUUUGUUGUGAGGUUUUCUGUCCUCAGAUAAAGAGACCUAUGAAAGCCAGUCUACAUAUGAAGAGGUCCCAAUGAAGAGCAGUGGUUCUCUGUCCUGGUCCUGGGGACUCAAAGGGGUGCACAUUUCUGUUUUUGCCUUAGCACUGCACUGCUGAUUCAAAUGAUCAACUCAUCAUCAAGCUUCAAGUGAUACCUUGUAACUGGAGAUUCCUUCAAAACGAUUGCCUACAGUUACCGUGUAGGGCACUGCAAGGUUGGGUGACCAGGGCCAUCUGGGACUGCCUCUUGGAGAAAUUCCGGCAUGUGAAGGCUACCUGUGUCCUGCAUAACUUCAUGAGGAUGGACACGGGGGCCAGGAGGGGAUAUGCAGCCGACGUGUGCCAGAGGAGAAGUCUGGUGCUCUGCAAGAUGUUUCAAAGUUGGGGUCCAGCAACGCAGCAUGAGAGGCAAUCCGUGUGCUGGGGAUCUUCACCUCCUACUUCUUCAAAGAGAGUGCUGUUCCCAGGCAACACCAUAGACUACACUAUGCACAACCAAAGGCUAUUUUAAGAGCCAUCCGCAUUGCAAUAAGAGUAUUCUACCAUUUACUUAGCUAUGUCAACUGCAGUUAUUCAAUUCCCCGUUUCUCUCCCUUUGAUUUCUACUUCUCAAGUGAGGGUGCUGUUUAGAUAAGGGUGUGAUGUCUGUACAAAAACAAAACAGGCGAUUUUAAGUCACCCAUAUUGAAAAAAUGUAGAACAACUAGACACCCUAUAACCCACACCUACACACCCAUGUAUCAAUCUGAUUGAUGGAUUGUGUUGUGCAGUAAGCAGGCUCAGGUGUAUAACUAUGACUCCUUCCACCUUCAAAGAACAGGCAAGAGGGCCAACCAUGGAGAAUAGUAAGACACUUCAUUAUUUCUAUAACUACGCUAUAUUGUUUGUCCUUGUGUGUCCGUUCAUGUUUUUCAGCUACUUAGUGUGGACACCAGGUGAGGCCACACACACAAAUUCCUGUUGAACACUCAUUAAAACCUCUACAGGAUCGGUGUCCCUCCCCCA